rnacentral:rRNA from 1 species
GAUGAACGCUAGCGGCAGGCCUAACACAUGCAAGUCGAGGGAGAAGCCCUUCGGGGCAGAAACCGGCGCACGGGUGCGUAACGCGUAUGCAACCUACCUUUCACAGGGGGAUAGCCCGAAGAAAUUUGGAUUAAUACCCCAUAAUAUUAUUGGAUGGCAUCAUUUGAUAAUUAAAAUUACGAUGGUGAAAGAUGGGCGUGCGUCCUAUUAGCUAGUUGGAGUGGUAACGGCACCCCAAGGCUACGAUAGGUAGGGGUCCUGAGAGGGAGAUCCCCCACACUGGUACUGAGACAGGGACCAGACUCCUACGGGAGGCAGCAGUGAGGAAUAUUGGUCAAUGGUCGGAAGACUGAACCAGCCAUGCCGCGUGCAGGAAGAAUGCCUUAUGGGUUGUAAACUGCUUUUAUAUGGGAAGAAUAAGGAGUACGUGUACUUUGAUGACGGUACCAUAUGAAUAAGCAUCG